UACGUAGGUGGCAAGCGUUAUCCGGAAUUAUUGGGCGUAAAGCGCGCGCAGGCGGUCUUCUACGUCUGGGGUGAAAACCCGGGGCUCAACCCCGGGACUGCCUUGGAUACGGGGAGACUUGAGGAUCGGAGAGGCAAGGGGAAUUCCACGUGUAGCGGUGAAAUGCGUAGAGAUGUGGAGGAACACCUGUGGCGAAGGCGCCUUGCUGGCCGAUUUCUGACGCUGAGGCGCGAAAGCGUGGGGAGCAAACAGG
rnacentral:rRNA from 1 species